rnacentral:rRNA from 1 species
UACAGAGGGUGCGAGCGUUAAUCGGAAUUACUGGGCGUAAAGCGUGCGUAGACGGUUAUUAAGUCGGGUGUGAAAGCCCCGGGCUCAACCUGGGAAUUGCAUUCGAGACUGAAUAGCUAGGGUACGGUAGAGGGAAGUGGAAUUCCGGUGUAGCGGUGAAAUGCGUAGAUAUCGGAAGGAACAUCAGUGGCGAAAGCGACUUCCUGGACCAGUACCGACGUUCAGGCACGAAAGCGUGGGGAGCAAACAGG